rnacentral:lncRNA from 1 species
CAUUAAACUUAGGUUUUUAUGAAUUCCGAGCAAACGCUGUGCUACUACUAGGGUACAUCCCCAGCCACCAACGUCAGGAAAAUACAUCCUAUGUGCCCAGAGUGCUUAAGGAGAAGCAGAAAUGUGAACUGAAGUUCCCCAGCCGACUCUUGAGACAUGUUUCUGGCUUUCAUUUCUAUUCACACACCAUUCCUGAAAUACAGACUUCUUGCAAACUGUCUUCUCCAGUUGGGUUUCAGCUCUGCAUAGGUAGAUCUUCUUGGUUCGCUUGGCAUUGGAGCACCUGAAGAGUACCUGAUGGGACAGAUAGAUAAAAUGCUAAGCAGAUGCAAAGGCGAAUUGCCUCAGCCUGUAGACUCUGAUUAUUUCUGUCCAUUCUCCUUGACUUUCUGCAUUUCAUGUAUUCAUCCAUUGUUAACUUUUAUUUUCUUUUGAUACACUGCACGACUUUUGCAAGGUGAU